rnacentral:rRNA from 1 species
CCUAUGGGAGGCAGCAGUGGGGAAUAUUGGACAAUGGGGGAAACCCUGAUCCAGCGACGCCGCGUGAGUGAAGAAGUAUUUCGGUACGUAAAGCUCUAUCAGCCGGAAAGCAAAUGACGGUACCUGACUAGGAAGCCCCGGCUAACUACGUACCAGCAUCCGCGGUAAUACGGAGGGGGCAAGCGUUAUCCGGAUUGACGGGGUGUAAAGGGAGCGUAGACGGCAGCGCAAGUCUGGAGUGAAAUGCCGGGGCCCAACCCCGGAACUGCUGUGGAAACUGUGAAGCUGGAGUGCAGGAGAGGUAAGCGGAAUGCGUGGUGUAGCGGUGAAAUGCGUAGAUAUCAGGAGGAACACCGGCGGCGAAGGCAGCUUACUGGACUGUAACUGACGUUGAGGCUCGAAGGCGUGGGGAGCAAACAGGAUUAGAUACCCCUGUAGUC